AAAGUUUGCAAGAGGGGGAGGGGCGGCAUGUGUGGAACUUAGGGACUGUCCAGGGGUGCUGGGUGUCCCAUGCCUACUACCCCUGAUUGUGCAUGUUGGGGCAGUAGCCCAGGAAUCCUCAGGACUGACCUGAACCUACCAGGCCUCACAGAUGUGUGCGUAAAUGUGAAUGCCCCCACACAAAGCCUGCUUUGACCUUGCAGCGGGACCUGAGAUUCCACAUCUGGAUGCGCCCCCUGCCACCUAGUUGGAGCAGGGGAUUGCAUUUGGGAGGAGAAGGUUAAAACUUUGCAUUUGGGUAUGGAGAGCUUCCCAACAGACCUCCGUUCCUCAAGCAAUAAUCCCAGCUUGUCUAUCUCCGGAGAGAGCGCUCACACAAUCAGUGCGUGCUCGUUAAGUCCUGGAGAUCCACUGAGCGCGCAGCCUAACGCUGGAGAAAGUGGUUUGAAACCCAAAGUAUAGAAAAUGUAAAUAAAAGGCAGGCGUGUCAGAGAGGGUGAGGGAUCUCCGUAACACCUCAUUUCAUUUUUUUAAAGGAGGGGGACACUUCCCCGCCGCCUGCAGCCUUGACCUCCAAGGCGGGGGUAGGGACCGUUGUGGCUCUUUCCUGAGGCUGUUUCCUGUCUGGCUCCUGGGGGCCCUCGGGAUGGCUGGGAGGGCCCUUCCUCUCAUUUGCUAGCACCCCCUCUCAUCCAUCAGUUUGAGGGGAGGGUCCAGGAAAGACGGCCUCCUAUCUACAUCAGGGCACUGUGAGUGUGGGGCACGGGAUGGUUGGAUGAGAGAGGUGCUGUUCCCGAAGUCGGUCCUUUAAGGGCUGCGGUAAGGAGACUUUAAUUUAAGUGACGCCCGAGAUCUUUACUCCCCGGGUCAGGAAGCACCCUCCAUUUAUCCUGUGUGUGUGAGGUCAUUCCUUCCACUCCCGGACCACCAGAAACUCCUGCUGCCAGCACUGAGUUGCUUAGCCUUCUGCUGCAGGGGACUUGGAGGAACUGGGACGUGGCUCUGUGGUAGAAGUGCCAGCUGCCAAAGCGGACAACUUGAGUUUGAAUUUCAAGGUAAACAUAGUGGAAGGAGAAAACCGAUUUCCAGAAGUUGUCUGUCAUCUGUGACCUCCACAUGGACACUGUGGCCUUCACUGGCUCUCUCCUAACGCAAUAAAUAUGCAAAUAAAAAAUAGGAUUACGGGCUGGUGAGAUGGCUCAGUGGGUAAGAGC